GCCAGACUCCUACGGGAGGCAGCAGUGGGGGAUAUUGCACAAUGGGGGAAACCCUGAUGCAGCGACGCCGCGUGAGUGAAGAAGUAUUUCGGUAUGUAAAGCUCUAUCAGCAGGGACGAAGAAAGACGGUACCUGAGUAAGAAGCCCCGGCUAACUACGUGCCAGCAGCCGCGGUAAUACGUAGGGGGCAAGCGUUAUCCGGAUUUACUGGGUGUAAAGGGAGCGUAGACGGUAUGGCAAGUCUGAAGUGAAAGCCCCGGGCUCAACCUGGGAACUGCUUUGGAAACUGUUAAACUAGAGUGCUGGAGAGGCAGGCGGAAUUCCCAGUGUAGCGGUGAAAUGCGUAGAUAUUAGGAGGAACACCAGUGGCGAGGGCGGCCUGCUGGACAGUAACUGACGUUGAGGCUCGAAAGCGUGGGGAGCAAACAGGAUUAGAUACCCUAGUAU
rnacentral:rRNA from 1 species